AUCACCAUAAUCACCAGACUACAGUACACAUCACCAUCAUCACCAGACUACAGUACACAUCACCAUCAUCACCAGACUACAGUACACAUCACCAUCAUCACCAGACUACAGUACACAUCACCAUCAUCACCAGACUACAGUACAUGUCACCAUCACCCUCAUCAGGCUACAGUACACGUCACCAUCACCCUCACCAGACUACAGUACACAUCACCCUGAUCAGACUACAGUACAUGUCACCAUCACCCUCAUCAGACUACAGUACACAUCACCAGACUACAGUACACAUCACCAUCAUCACCAGACUACAGUACACAUCACCAUCAUCACCAUCAUCACCAGACUACAGUCACCAUCACCAUCAUCACCAGACUACAGUCACCAUCACCAUCAUCACCAGACUCAGUACACAUCACCAUCAUCACCAGACUACAGUACACAUCACCAUCAUCACCAGACUACAGUACACAUCACCAUCAUCACCAGACUACAGUACACAUCACCAUCAUCACCAGACUACAGUACACAUCACCCUGAUCAGACUACAGUACACAUCACCCUGAUCAGACUACAGUACAUGUCACCAUCACCCUCAUCAGGCCACAGUACACGUCACCAUCAUCACCAGACUACAGUACACAUCACCCUGAUCAGACUACAGUACAUGUCACCAUCACCAUCAUCACCAGACUACAGUCACCAUCAUCACCAGACUACAGUACACAUCACCCUGAUCAGACUACAGUACAUGUCACCAUCACCCUCAUCAGGCUACAGUACACGUCACCAUCAUCCUCACUGUAGUCAGCACAGUGUCAUAACCGUAACUAUGUCAACUCCAUAACCAGGCAUUCCCGUAACCCACUAUGUCAUAACCGUAACUAUGUCAUCAUAACCAUAACUAUGUCAACUCCAUAACCAGGCAUUCCCAUAACCCACUGUGUCAUAACCAUAACUAUGUCAUCAUAACCAUAACUAUGUCAACUCCAUAACCAGGCAUUCCCAUAACCCACAGUGUCAUAACCGUAACUAUGUCAACUCCAUAACCAGGCAUUCCCAUAACCCACAGUGUUAUAACCGUCACUAUGUCAACUCCAUAACCAGG
ensembl:lncRNA